rnacentral:rRNA from 1 species
AUUGAACGCUGGCGGCAGGCCUAACACAUGCAAGUCGAACGAGUGGCGGACGGGUGAGUAAUGUCUGGGAAACUGCCCGAUGGAGGGGGAUGACUACUGGAAACGGUAGCUAAUACCGCAUACCAUCGGAUGUGCCCAGAUGGGAUUAGCUAGUAGGUGGGGUAAUGGGUCACCUAGGCGACGCUCCCUAGCUGGUCUGAGAGGAUGACCAGUCACACGGGAACUGAGACACGGUCCAGACUCGUAUGGGAGGGAGCAGUGGGGAAUAUUGCACAAUGGGCGCAAGGCUGAUGCAGACAUGCCGCGUGUAUGAAGAAGGCCUGCGGGUUGUAAAGUACUUUCAGCGAGGAGGCGUUACUCGCAGAAGAAGCACCGGCUAACUCCGUGCCAGCAGCCGCGGUAAUUC